GGCACCGUGACCCAGCUAAGCUGACGUGGAAUUAAGCCUCACGGUGCCCAGUAAAUAGCUGUUGAGUGACUAAAUGAACAGUCCUGGGCCCAGGCGGAACCCAGUUCUGGUAGGACCGAGUCUUCAUUAGCAGGAAUCGGGGUGGACAUGAGAGUGCCCCUGCAGGCCAAGGCCAGCGCCUCCCGACGCCUUCCUCUCGCCGUGGCCUCAGCCCUGGCCUCCUAUCGGCCCCCUGCAGGAGGGAGAUGAGGCUAGUCCAGGGCCAGCUCGGCCACCUGCCCACUGCUGGGCCACCUGCCCACUGCUCGACACCAGCAGACAUGCCCGGCCUGGCAGGGUGUGCCUCCGGUUCCGACCAGCAUGGCGGUGGCCUCCAGGUGGCCGCCAGCUCCGCCUGGCCUCCCCCACCUCCCCCACCUCCCAGAGCCGGGGACUCGUGCAGAGCCGGUCCUCGGACUCGGGCCUCCGGGCUGCAGCUUGGCUUCUCGCUCCUGUGCCCCUUCAGCUUUGCCACCAGGUCCUGGCUGCCUCGGGCAGGGGGGUCCAGCAGGGGCCCUGAGCCCGACUGCCACUUAGAGCCACGGCUGGCUCGGCCUCCCUGAGCCUCAGCUUCCUCGGCUGUCAAGUGGGAAAACAUCCUGAGCUCAGGUGGACAGGUGCUGGCCCGGUUGGGCAUUCCCUGUCGUCCACACCGACGUCCUCGUCUGGGCGCCCCAGGGCACGCGUCCUCCCCACCUGGGCCCUGGCUUCCUCCAGGGGAAGCUUCGGGGAGGCGAG
rnacentral:lncRNA from 1 species